rnacentral:lncRNA from 1 species
UCUUAUUUACUUGAUUUUUCUUUUUAUUUUUUUCCUAUUAUUUGUUUGUUCCUAUCUUGCUAGUUUAAAUUCCUGGAUAACUUUAUUUAUAUUUUAAUUUAUUUUUUAUGUAAUGAUUUUUAUUUUUUUCUGUUAUAGCUGGUUUACAGUGUUCUGUCAAUUUUCUACUGUUUAGCAUGUUGACCCAGUUACACAUACAUGUAUACAUUGUUUUUUCUCACAUUAUUAUGCUCCAUUGUAAGUUAGCAGGCAGAGUUCCCAGUGCUACACAGCCGGAUCUCAUUGCUAGUCCAUUCCAAAGGCAAUAGUCUAUAUCUAUUAACCCCAAGCAACCAAUCCACCCCACUACCUCCUCUACCCCUUGGCAACCGCAAGUCUAUUCUCCAAGUCCAUGAUUUUCUUUUCUGUGGAAAUGUUCAUUUGUGCCUUAUAUUAGAUUCCAGAUAUAAGUGAUAUCAUAUGGUAAAUGUCUUUCUCUUUCUGACUUACUUCACUCAGGAUGAGAGUCUCUAGUUCUCUAGUUCAUGUUGCUGCAAAUAGCAUUCUUGGCCAUCUGUACAUCUUCCUGGGAAAAAUGUCUAUUCAGGUCCUUUGCCCAUUUUCUGUUGGGUUGAUGGCUUUUUUGCUGUUGAGUUGUAUAUGUUACUUGUAUAUUCUAGAGAUUAAGCCCUUGUCAGUUGCAUCAUUUGAAACUAUUUUCUCCCAUUCUGUAAGGGGCCCUUUUGGUUUCUUUUUUGCUCCUUUGCUGUGCAAAAAUUGUCAGUUUGAUUAGAUUCCAUUGUAUUAUUUUUGCUUUUAUUUCUGUUGCUUUGGGAGACUGAUCUGAGAAAACAUUUGUAAAGUCAAUGUCAGAGAAUGUUUUGCCUAUGUUCUCUUCUAGGAGUUUGAUGGUGUCUUCUUUUAUAUUUAAAUCUUUAAGCCAUUUUGAAUUUAUUUUUGUGCAUGGUUUGAGGGGUGUUCUGGUUUCAUUGAUUUGCAUGCAGCUAUCCAUGUUUCCCAGCACAGCUUGAUGAAAAGACUGUCUUUUUCCCAUUUUAUGUUCUUGCCUCUUUUGUCAAAGAUUAACUGACCACAGGUCUCUGGGUUUAUUUCUGGGUUCUCUAUUCUGUUCCAUUGGUCUGUAUGUUUGUUUUGGUACCCGUACCACACCAUCUUGAGGACUGUGGCUUUGUAAUAUCACCUGAAGUCUGGGAGAGUUAUGCCUCCUGUUUGCUUUUUGUUCCUCAGGAUUGCUUUGGCAAUACUGGGUCUUUUGUGGUUCCAUAUCGAUUUUUGGAUUGUUUGUUCUAGUUCUGUGAAAAAAUGUCCUGGGUAAUUUGAUAGGGAUUGCAUUGAAUCCAUAGAUUGCUUUGGGUAGUAUGGCCAUUUUUACAAUAUGAAUUUUUCUAACCCAGGAGCAUGGACUAUCUUUCCAUUUAUUUACAUUUUCUUUAUUUUCCUUGAUUAAUGUUUUAUAGUUCUUGGCAUAUAAGUCCUUUACCUCCUUGAUCAGGUGUAUUCCGAGGUAUUUUAUUUUUGGGGGGUGAAAUUUUAAAAGGUAUUUUAUUUUUGUAUUCCUUUUCUAAGAUUUCAUUGUUAAUGUACAGAAAUGUGACUGAUUUCUGAAUAUUAAUCUGACAUCAAAAGCAAAGAAUGUGGGGAGGAGAGGAUUAAGAUGGUGGAAUAGAAGGACUGGAGCUCAACUUCUCUCCUAAAAACAACAAAAUGCACAACUAAAAGCUAGGCAGUCUCCACCCAAAUGGACAGGAAACCUUAAAAAAGAUACCCUACUAAAGAAGAAAAAGAGGAGGCCACAUCAAGAGGUAGGAGGGGUGAUUUUGCAAUAUAAAAAACUCCAUACCUCCUGGGUGGGAAGUCCCACAGACUGGUAACUAACUGGUUUACAGAGACUCACCUACAAGAGUGAAAGUUCUGACCCCACAUCAAACCCUCAUGUGUGGGGCUCUAGCACAGGGAGAAAGAACCCCUGGAGCAUCUGGCAUUGAAGGCCAGUGGGGCUUUUGUGCAGGAACUCCAUGGGACUGGGAGAAAUGGAGACCCCAUUCUUAAAAGGCGCACAUGGACGUUCACGUGCACUGGAUCUCAGGGCAGAGCAAGGUCUCCAUAGGAAUCUGGGUCAAACCUAACUGCAGUUCUUGGAGGACAUCCUGGGAAAACAGGGGUAAAUAUGGCUUGUUGUGAGGGAAGAACAUUGAGAGCAAAGCUCUUGGGAAUAUUCAGCAGUGUGCCUUUCUCUGGAGGUGGCCAUUUGGCAAAAAUCUGGCGCCACCCAUCAGUCAUUUCUGAGAAGCCCCAGGGCAAACAACAAUUCAGGUGGGAUCACAACCCUGCCCCUCAGUAAACAGGCUACCUAAAGACCCCUCAGGCACAAAGAUGCCUCUAAUCCCAUCCAGAGACUAAGCCCCACCCACAAGAGGGACUAGAAUCUGCUUCACCUAGCAGUGGCCAGGCAUCAGACCCUCCUGUCAGGAAGCCUACAGCAAGCCCCCAUACCUACUUCGGCCACAAGGGGGGCAGACACCAGAAGUAAGAGAGGCUACCACUCUAUUAUCUGUACAAAGGUCACCACACCAAAAACCUAUAAAAAUAAAAAGACAGAGAACUAUAACUCAGAUGAGGGAGAAAGGAAAAACCCCAGAAAAGCAAUGAGGAGAUUCUUAAUCUUCAGGAAAAAGACUCUAGACUGUUGAUGUUGAAGAUGAUGCAAGACAUUGGAAAUCAACUGGAGGCAAAAUGGAUAACUUGCAAAGAGAUACAAGAUAUAAAACUUAAACAGGAAGAGAUGCAGAAUACAAUAACUGAAAUAAAAAAUUCACUAGAAGCAGCCAAACAGAAGAAUACAGGAGGCAGAAGAACAAAUAAGUGAGGUGGAGGACAGAUUAGUGGAAAUUACGGAUGCAGAACAGAAAAGAGAAAAAGGAUUGAAAACAAAUGAAGAGAGUCUCAGAGAACUCUGGGACAAUGUUAAAUGCACCAGCAUCUGUAUUACAGAGGUUCCAGAAGGAGAAGAGAGAGAGAAGGGGACAGAAUAAAUAUUCGAAGAGAUAAUAGCCAAAACUUCCCUCACAUGAGAAAGGAACCACUCAUUCAAAUCCAGGAAGCACAAUGAGUACUAUAUUUAAAAAAUCCCAAGGAGGAAUACACAGAGAGAUUAUUAAUCAAACUGACCAAAAUUAAAGACAAAGAGAAAAUCUUGAAAGCAGCUAGGGAAAUGAAACAAAUAACAUACAAGGGAACCCCAAUAAGGUUACUGGCAGAUUUUUCAGCAGAAACUCUGCAGGCCAGAAGGGAGUGGCAUGAUAUACUUAACAUGAUGAAAGGAAAAAACCUCCAACCAAUGUUACUUUACCCAUCAAGGCCCUCAUUCAGAUUUGAAGGAGAAAUCAAAACCUUCACAGAUAAGCAAAAGCUAAGAGAAUUCAGCAAUACUAAACCAGCCUUACAACAAAUACUAAAGGAUCUUCUCUAGGCAGAAAAGAAAAGAAAGCAACAGGAAACAAAAAUUCCUCAAAUGACAAGGCUGACCAGUAAAGGUAUACAUACAGUAAAGAUAUGAAAUCAUCCAUGCACAAUUAUACCACCACAAUCAGGAAUCAUGAAAAGAGGUGGGUACAAAUGCAGGACACUUGAGAUGAACUUGCAAUUAAGAAAAUAGCAACUUCAAAAAAUCUCAUAUACCUAUAGGCUCUUAUAUCAAAACUUUAGAAUAACUGCAAACCAAAAAUCUACAAUGGAUACACAAACAAGGAAUCUCUGGAGAAGAAAUACAUCUCAUAAUAAGUAAGUCCAUAAUCCACCACAAAAGGGUUAAUUUGACAUCAUUCUUGGAAUGCUGAAGUCUUCUUACAUCAGAUUCUGAUUUCCUCUCCAUCAAAGAAUUUAUGAUAAUUAUAAUUAAAUAAUGCAACUGUACAAUUAAAUAAUACAGUUCUACAAUUGUAUUAUUAAUAACCAUUUCUCUCCAUGGUACAAUGUAAGGUCUUAAUGUCUUAUCACAUCACCUAGAAUGGUGUAAUGCCUAUAUUGAAGAAUCAAUAAGAUGUAACAAAUUGUGAGGACAUAUUUUAUAGUUAUGCUGUUUUUUUAAACAAUUUAUGCAUUUUGUAUUUUACUUAUUUUCAGAGGGUGUAUUUUUGUUAUUCUUACCAUUUAAGUUAUUCUUUUUAUUAUGCUAUAUAAAAUAUUUAAUGGUAUAUAAGGCUUUCUUCUUUAUAAAUUUUAGUUGCAUAAUAUACACAAUUGUAAUAUAAUGCUAAUUUUUAAAGAAAAAUUGAAAUGUAGUAGAUAAUACUAAAUAGUAAAGAUGAAAGCCAUACAAAAUGGGAUAAAGUAUAGAAUAAAUUUCCUAUUUGUCUCAGCAUAUUUUCCAUUCCACUUCUCCAGAGGGAGUCACUUAAUUUGUUUCUUAAGAUCUAUGAUAUAAUAAUCUGUGUGAAUGUAAUUUUAUUUAAAUAUAUGUAUUUUAUGUUGUGAAAAAACAAAAAUAAAAUUUCACAAUAAAGAUAUACUUAUUAUUUAAAAAAGCAUACAAUGUGGGGAAGAAAAGUAAGAAAAUAUAGAUUAUUUUUUAUUUUAAUGAUGUGUUUGAGGCUAUAUGACUAUUAGGCUAAAGGAAGCAGAUGUAGGUAGGGUUUAACAUACUUAAAAAAACAGGACAACCACAAAUCAAACAUUGCAUUCACAAAAACUGAAAAGAAAAGUACUCAAGUAUAAAAUAAAUGGAAACCAUCCAACCCAAAAAAGAAAAGAAGAAAAGAGAAACUUAGAAUCAGCUGGAAAAUACGGUUUAAAAUGCCAAUAAAUACAUAUCUAUCAAUAAUCACCUUAAAUGUCAAUGGACUGAAUGCUCCAAUCAAAAGAUACAGAGUGGCAGAUUGGAUGAAAAAUCAAAAAUCUUCAGUCUGCUAUCUACAAAAUACUCAACUUAGGGCAAAUGACACAUAUAGAUUGAAAACGAGAGGAUGGGAAAAGAUAUUUCAUGCCAGUGGAUGAGGCAGAAAAGCAGGAGUUGCAGUACUCACAUCAGACACAAUAGACUUUAAAAUAAAGGUCAUAAAGAAAGACAAAGAAGGACACUAUCUAAUGGUUAAAUGAUCCAUUCAUGGAGAGGAUAUUACAAUUUUCGAUAUAUAUGCUCCUAAUAUAGGAGCACCCAGAUACCUUCAACAAAUACUAACAGACAUAAAAGGAGAAAUUGAUGGGAAUACAAUCAUAGUAGGAGACUUUAACACCCCACUCACAUCAAUGGACAGAUCAGAUCCUCUAACAGAAAAUCAAUAAGGCAACAGAGAUCCUAAAUGGCACAAUAGAAAAGUUAGACUUAAUUGAUAUUUUCAGUUCAUUACAUCCAAAAAAAAAUCAGAAUAUACAUUCUUCUCAAGUGCACAUGGAACAUUCUCAAGGAUUGAUCACAUACUGGGGCACAAAUGUAACCUCAGCAAGUUUAAGAAUAUAGAAAUUAUUUCAAGUAUCUUCUCUGACCACAAUGACAUGAAACUGGAAAUCAUCCACAUGAAAAGAAAUGAGAAAAAACUGACUACAUGGAGACUAAACAACAUGCUACUAAAAAAAAACCAAAGGGCCAAUAAGGAAAUAAAGAAAAAAAAAUAAAGAAUACCUGGAGACAAAUAAUAAUGAAGACACAUCAACUCAAAAUUUAUGGGAUGCCGCAAAAGCAGUGCUCAGAGGGAAUUUCAUAGCAACAUAGGCCUUCCUCAAAAAAGAAGAAAGAUCUCAAAUUGACAACUUAAUUCAUCACCUAAAUGAAUUAGAAAAAGAACAAACAAAACCUAAAAUCAGCAGGACGAAGGAAAUCAUAAAAAUCAGAAAACAAAUAAAAUAGAGAUUCAAAAAACAAUAGA